rnacentral:misc_RNA from 1 species
AACGCACCUUGCGCUCCUUGGUAUUCCGAGGAGCAUGCCUGUUUGAGUGUCGUGAAAUUCUCAACUCUCCCUUUUCUUUACGGAGAAGGGUUGAGCUUGGACUUGGGGAUUGCUGGCUUUGUUGUCAGCUUCCCUUGAAUGCAUUAGCUGGAAUUUAAUUUGUAGCAUAUAUGCGGUGUGAUAAUGUCUUCACUGUGUAGCUCAAGUCAAAUCUGCUUUCAAAUAGUCCUUUGCGGGACAAUUAUGACGAUUAGGCCUCAAAUCAGGUAGGACUACCCGCUGAACUUAA